AGAAUCAACGCUGGCGGCGUGCCUAACACAUGCAAGUCGCACGAGAAAGGGGAGCAAUCCCCGAGUACAGUGGCGCACGGGUGAGUAACACGUGACUAAUCUACCCUCGAGUGGGGAAUAACUGAGAGAAAUCUCAGCUAAUACCGCAUAACACUUACGAGUCAAAGCAGAAAUGCGCUUGGGGAGGAGGUCGCGGCCGAUUAGCUAGUUGGCGGGGUAAUGGCCCACCAAGGCGAUGAUCGGUA
rnacentral:rRNA from 1 species